UGGGUUGAAGCUGAAACAAUAGCAUUUGGCCGUUAACCAGAAGGAUGAAGGUUUAAUCCCUUUCAACCCAG
rnacentral:tRNA from 1 species